UUGCAAUAUAAGGUACAGAAUUCAUUUCCAAUGUUUUGGUUUCACAGACACAAAGAUCCAUCACUUAUACCACAGUGCUUCAGUGAUCCUGAAAGGCAACUGUGGUAAUAGAGAAAAUAUGACAUGGCACCAAAUACAGUCAGCGUCAAAACUUUUAUUUUCCUGGAAGAAAAGACAAAACCUUGUACCCUAAAGGAAACAGAGUUACAAUCCAAAUAAAAGUUCCAAAACUGUUUUACAUCAACUGAGUAAAUAUCAUUGAUGAUUUAACUUUGUUUUAAAUGAACCAAAACCGUAAUAUUCCAAAUGGCAACUGCCUCGAAACAAACAGCUAAACAAAUGAAAUGAGAAAUACUUGUUUGAUGCUUUAGUAUUUGUUAGUUGGCUAUUAAUAUAACAUGAUAUUAUAGCUAAACCUUACACCUUGAUCAAUCCAAAUCUGAGCAGACCAUGAGCACCCGUGUUUAGGGCACACAUUAUCAUGCACUUGGUUAACUGUCUGUAGAGAGCGCAAUGUCUACGGUUUCUCCUUUUGACCAUGUCUGAGAAUGAAUCCAAAUGUUUUAAAAAAUAAAUAUUUUCACUAGUUUGAGGUAAAGUAAUUGUAGCUAAUUGUAACCAUAGCCAAACUGGUGGAGAGCGUUGCACCCGGCUGCGGGGGGAAAGCAGAGAAAAUCAAUGGGUAAAUGGGUAAGAGGAAAGAUUGAAGUGCUUUUGAACAGGUUAUGGUAGUAGGUACCAGGAUCAACGGUUUGCGUGUGUCAACAACUGCAACGCUGAGGUGUUUUUCACACGUGUAUCAAGAAUGGUCCACCACCCAAAAAAUAUCCAGCCAACUUGACACAACUAUGGGAAGCAAUGGAGUCAACAUGGGCCAGCAUCCCUGUGGAAUGCUUUCGACACCUUGUAGAGUCCACGCCCCGACAAAUCGAGGCUGUUCUGAGGGCUGAAAGGGGGGUGGGGGGAACUCAAUAGUAAGAUGGUGUUCUUAAUGUUUUGUACAUUCAGUGUAUUUACAGUGCAUUCAGAAAGUAUUCAGACCCCUUGACUUUAUCCACAUUUUGUUACGUUACAGCCUUAUUCUAAAACUGAUUCAAUUGUUUUUACCCCUCAUCAAUCCACACACACAAUACCCCAUAAUGACAAACGUAUCUGAAUACUUUCUGAAUGCACUGUAUAGACCUAUAUAUGAAAAAGUCAAAUAAUGUUGCCUCCAAGGACAACACUACAGUAUAGCAAGUGCAGGUACACCAGUCUGCAGUUUGUGGUAACACACCACUUUCUGACUAGACCCUCUGAUUGCUUCACAUCAUCCCAAAAACAUUCUUCCAUCUCCCCACAGUCCCAGGAGCUCUUGAAUGGCUCCUUACUGCCCUCCUCUGGCUAUAAACGGAGGGAAUCAUUGAGCAUGACAGUCUGAGAUAUGAGACAGUGGAGCAGGUUGGAGCAGGGUGGGAUGAGACUUCAGAGCUGAUAUGGGCAGGUAAACACAAAGUCCUGUGCUUGGUAGUUGUCUGUUUUUAAAUGAUCUCCGAACACAUAACAACAAGGAGUCAAAAAGGGGUCCAGAUUAUUGGUCGCAUACAGUUUGGCAGAUGUUAUAGCGGGUGCAGCAAAAUGCUUACGUUACUAGCAGUAAAAUGUCAAACUGCUCUCCAGGACCAGUGUUGUCUACCAAUGGAUUAGGUAACUAUUUUUGGUAAAAGGCUGGCUGUGGACAUAGGAUACACUAAAACUCACUCAAUCACCAUACCAACCAGCAUCCAUUCGGACUCCCUUUCCACAACAGCAGCAAACACCCAAUCUUUAAUUCCUUAAAAAAAAAAAAUAGUUACGCCAAAGUCCUCUUUCUGUCACCGAGAUGAGAUUGAUGUAAUAGUAAGGCCCUCUUAACACCCAAUGCUUCCUAACUCUCAAUAUUGCCACUCCUGUCUUUUUAGCUAGCAUUCCACUCCUUGCCACUCCUGUCUUUUUAGCUAGCAUUCCACUCCUUGCCACUUCUGUCUUUUUAGCUAGCAUUCCACUCCAGUAUUUUUAGCUAGCAUUCCACUCCAGUCUUUUUAGCUAGCAUUCCACUCCAGUCUUUUUAGCUAGCAUUCCACUCCAGUCUUUUUGGCUAGCAUAACAUUUUUUGAUCAUAUUACUCCAGUGCUAGCCUCUCUACACUGGCUUCCUGUCAAAGCAAGGGCUGAUUUCAAGGUUUUACUGCUAACCUACAAAGCAUUACAUGGGCUUGCUCCUACCUAUCUCUCUGAUUUGGUCCUGCCGUACAUACCUACACGUACGCUACGGUCACAAGACGCAGGCCUCCUAAUUGUCCCUAGAAUUUCUAAGCAAACAGCUGGAGGCAGGGCUUUCUCCUAUAGAGCUCCAUUUUUAUGGAACGGUCUGCCUACCCAUGUCAGAGACGCAAACUCGGUCUAAACCUUUAAGUCUUUACUGAAGACUCAUCUCUUCAGUGGGUCAUAUGAUUGAGUGUAGUCUGG
ensembl:lncRNA